rnacentral:ncRNA from 1 species
CCCGCUGAAUUAGUGAUCGGCGGGGAAUCACUUAAACUGGAGAAUCACUAUGUCACUAAAUGCUGAAAUCAAGGCGCAAAUCGUUGCUGACAACGCUCGUGGCGC